rnacentral:lncRNA from 1 species
AGUCAUGAUCUCACUAUUAGCAGUCAAGGUCAGCCGGUCAAACUUUUGAAAUUCAAUGAAAAGCCAUACGUCUUUAAGGUGAAAACCGUGUCGGAUCAUACAGUACGCUUUCAUUUGCGUCGAGGACCGUUUUUGAUUCCACUGGAUGUGCCCGUAGGACCCAAUAUACCUCCAUGUAACGGGUUACGUACAUGGAUCGCUAAAAUGGAUGGGGUUUACCAUGACGGGAAACGUAUUGAAAAAUGGGGCUAAAUGUACUAAUUUUUAUCUUAAUUUUACUAUAUACAUGAAAAUAUCAUAAAAUAUGAGUUUAUUUUUAAUAUCUAUGAAUAAUGUAUGAUCUUUUUGGGAAUAUUAUAUAUACUUGUUGUGAAAGUCAAAAGAACGCAACAACAUUUAACAUAUGAGUAAAAUGUUUUUCAUGUUUUUAUUAUUUAUUAUUUAUCUGGAACCUAUUG